rnacentral:rRNA from 1 species
GGAUCAUUAUAGAGUUAUACAACUCCAAACCCAUGUGAACAUACCUAUUGUUGCUUCGGCAGGUCGCGAGACUGCUGGGAAGGGCCUCCCCUUAAACCGGGCGGCCUACCCGGGAGCCCGCGGGCAAGCCUGCCGGUAGCCCUUUAAACUCUGUUUUAGCAUUGAAUCUCUGAAUCAUAACUAAAUAAGUUAAAACUUUCAACAACGGAUCUCUUGGUUCUGGCAUCGAUGAAGAACGCAGCGAAAUGCGAUAAGUAAUGUGAAUUGCAGAAUUCAGUGAAUCAUCGAAUCUUUGAACGCACAUUGCGCCCAUUAGUAUUCUAGUGGGCAUGCCUGUUCGAGCGUCAUUUCAACCCUUAAGCCCCUGUUGCUUAGUGUUGGGAGCCUACGCGUCAGCGUAGCUCCUCAAAGUUAGUGGCAGAGUCAGUUCAAACUCUAGGUGUAGUAAAUCUCUUCUCGCCUCUGUAGUUGGGCUGCCCCUCGCCGUAAAACACCCCGAUUUUUUUAAAGGUUGACCUCGGAUCAGGUAGGAAUACCCGCUGAACUUAAGCAUAUCAAUAAGCGGAGGAAAAGAAACCAACAGGGAUUGCCCUAGUAACGGCGAGUGAAGCGGCAACAGCUCAAAUUUGAAAUCUGGCCUUCGGGUCCGAGUUGUAAUUUGUAGAGGAUGCUUUUGGCGCGGUGCCUUCCGAGUUCCCUGGAACGGGACGCCUUAGAGGGUGAGAGCCCCGUACGGUUGGACACCAAGCCUCUGUAAAGCUCCUUCGACGAGUCGAGUAGUUUGGGAAUGCUGCUCUAAAUGGGAGGUAAAUUUCUUCUAAAGCUAAAUAUUGGCCAGAGACCGAUAGCGCACAAGUAGAGUGAUCGAAAGAUGAAAAGCACUUUGAAAAGAGGGUUAAAUAGCACGUGAAAUUGUUGAAAGGGAAGCGUUUGCGACCAGACCUUUUCCUGGCGGAUCAUCCGGUGUUCUCACCGGUGCACUUCGCCAGGUUGAGGCCAGCAUCGGUUUCUGUAGGGGGAUAAAAGCUUGGGGAAUGUAGCUCCCUCGGGAGUGUUAUAGCCCCUUGCAUAAUACCCUUACGGGGACCGAGGACCGCGCU